AUUGAACGCUGGCGGCAGGCCUAACACAUGCAAGUCGAACGAGUGGCGGACGGGUGAGUAAUGUCUGGGAAACUGCCUGAUGGAGGGGGAUAACUACUGGAAACGGUAGCUAAUACCGCAUACCAUCAGAUUUGCCCAGUUGGGAUUAGCUUGUUGGUGGGGUAACGGCUCACCAAGGCGACGAUCCCUAGCUGGUCUGAGAGGAUGACCAGCCACACGGGAAAUGAGACACGUUCCAUACUCCUACGUGAGGCAGCAGUGGGGAAUAUUGCACAAUGGGCGCAAUCCUGAUGCAGCCAUGCCGCGUGUAUGAAGAAGGCCUUCGGGUUGUAAAGUACGUUCAGCGGGGAGGCGUUACCCGCAGAAGAAGCACCGGCUAACUCCGUGCCAGCCGCCGCGGUAAUUC
rnacentral:rRNA from 1 species